rnacentral:rRNA from 1 species
AAGGUAAGCUACUAAGAGCGAAUGGUGGAUGCCUUGACUGGUAAAGGCGAUGAAGGACGUACUAGACUGCGAUAAGCUACGGGGAGCUGUCAAGAAGCUUUGAUCCGUAGAUUUCCGAAUGGGACAACCCAAUGUAUAGAGAUAUACAUUACCUAUAUAGGAGCGAACGAGGGGAAUUGAAACAUCUUAGUACCCUCAGGAAAAGAAAUCAAUAGAGAUUGCGUCAGUAGCGGCGAGCGAAAGCGCAAGAGGGCAAACCCAGUGCUUGCACUGGGGGUUGUAGGACUGCAAUGUGCAAGAGCUGAGUUUAGCAGAACAUUCUGGAAAGUAUAGCCAUAGAGGGUGAUAGUCCCGUAUGCGAAAAACAAAGCUUAGCUAGCAGUAUCCUGAGUAGGGCGGGACACGAGGAAUCCUGUCUGAAUCCGGGUCGACCACGAUCCAACCCUAAAUACUAAUACCAGAUCGAUAGUGCACAAGUACCGUGAGGGAAAGGUGAAAAGAACUGAGGUGAUCAGAGUGAAAUAGAACCUGAAACCAUUUGCUUACAAUCAUUCAGAGCACUAUGUAGCAAUACAGUGUGAUGGACUGCCUUUUGCAUAAUGAGCCUGCGAGUUGUGGUGUCUGGCAAGGUUAAGCAAACGCGAAGCCGUAGCGAAAGCGAGUCUGAAUAGGGCGCUUAGUCAGAUGCUGCAGACCCGAAACGAAGUGAUCUAUCCAUGAGCAAGUUGAAGCUAGUGUAAGAACUAGUGGAGGACUGAACCCAUAGGCGUUGAAAAGCCCCGGGAUGACUUGUGGAUAGGGGUGAAAGGCCAAUCAAACUUCGUGAUAGCUGGUUCUCUCCGAAAUAUAUUUAGGUAUAGCGUUGUGUCGUAAUAUAAGGGGGUAGAGCACUGAAUGGGCUAGGGCAUACACCAAUGUACCAAACCCUAUCAAACUCCGAAUACCUUAUAUGUAAUCACAGCAGUCAGGCGGCGAGUGAUAAAAUCCGUCGUCAAGAGGGAAACAACCCAGACUACCAGCUAAGGUCCCUAAAUCUUACUUAAGUGGAAAACGAUGUGAAGUUACUUAAACAACCAGGAGGUUGGCUUAGAAGCAGCCAUCCUUUAAAGAAAGCGUAAUAGCUCACUGGUCUAGUGAUUUUGCGCGGAAAAUAUAACGGGGCUAAAGUAAGUACCGAAGCUGUAGACUUAGUUUACUAAGUGGUAGGAGAGCGUUCUAUUUGCGUCGAAGGUAUACCGGUAAGGAGUGCUGGAGCGAAUAGAAGUGAGCAUGCAGGCAUGAGUAGCGAUAAUUAAUGUGAGAAUCAUUAACGCCGUAAACCCAAGGUUUCCUACGCGAUGCUCGUCAUCGUAGGGUUAGUCGGGUCCUAAGUCGAGUCCGAAAGGGGUAGACGAUGGCAAAUUGGUUAAUAUUCCAAUACCAACAUUAGUGUGCGAUGGAAGGACGCUUAGGGCUAAGGGGGCUAGCGGAUGGAAGUGCUAGUCUAAGGUCGUAGGAGGUUAUACAGGAAAAUCCGUAUAACAAUACUCCGAGAACUGAAAGGCUUUUUGAAGUCUUCGGAUGGAUAGAAGAACCCCUGAUGCCGUCGAGCCAAGAAAAGUUUCUAAGUUUAGCUAAUGUUGCCCGUACCGUAAACCGACACAGGUGGGUGGGAUGAGUAUUCUAAGGCGCGUGGAAGAACUCUCUUUAAGGAACUCUGCAAAAUAGCACCGUAUCUUCGGUAUAAGGUGUGGUUAGCUUCGUACUAGGAUUUACUCCGAAAGCGAAGAAACUUACAACAAAGAGUCCCUCCCGACUGUUUACCAAAAACACAGCACUCUGCUAACUCGUAAGAGGAUGUAUAGGGUGUGACGCCUGCCCGGUGCUCGAAGGUUAAUUGAUGGGGUUAGCAUUAGCGAAGCUCUUGAUCGAAGCCCGAGUAAACGGCGGCCGUAACUAUAACGGUCCUAAGGUAGCGAAAUUCCUUGUCGGUUAAAUACCGACCUGCAUGAAUGGCGUAACGAGAUGGGAGCUGUCUCAAAGAGGGAUCCAGUGAAAUUGUAGUGGAGGUGAAAAUUCCUCCUACCCGCGGCAAGACGGAAAGACCCCGUGGACCUUUACUACAGCUUGACACUGCUACUUGGAUAAGAAUGUGCAGGAUAGGUGGGAGGCUUUGAGUAUAUGACGCCAGUUGUAUAGGAGCCAUUGUUGAGAUACCACUCUUUCUUAUUUGGGUAGCUAACCAGCUUGAGUUAUCCUCAAGUGGGACAAUGUCUGGUG